rnacentral:rRNA from 1 species
AGUUCGGUCGUCCGGUUACGGGAACUCGUGACCACAGGUGCUGCAUGGCUGUCGUCAGCUCGUGUCGUGAGAUGGUUGGGUUAACGUCCCGUAACGAGCGCCAACCCUUGUCCUUAGUUACCAGCACGUUAUGGUGGGCACUCUAAGGAGACUGCCGGUGACAAACCGGAGGAAGGUGGGGAUGACGUCAAGUCAUCAUGGCCCUUACGGCCUGGGCUACACACGUGCUACAAUGGUCGGUACAAAGGGUUGCCAAGCCGCGAGGUGGAGCUAAUCCCAUAAAACCGAUCGUAGUCCGGAUCGCAGUCUGCAACUCGACUGCGUGAAGUCGGAAUCGCUAGUAAUCGUGAAUCAGAAUGUCACGGUGAAUACGUUCCCGGGCCUU